UAUAUAUUUUUAUGGUUGUUAUAAUUAAUAUGUUUCCAAGUCUGAUUAAUCUAACUAUAUAUAUAUGUAUAUAUAUAAAUGAUUUUUGCAAGUUUUUCCUCCCUACUGUUAAACAAUAACCGUGAGACUCAGGUAUGUAUCCAGCAGACUCCUUUGGAUUUCAUACUUAAAAGUCCAAUUUUUAAUAAGUUAGUUUCUUUCUUUCUACAUUUGUACCUUUUAUUUCUGUUUCAUGUUAAAUUUUAGCUAGACUGUCCUGUUUUAUUCUUGAUGUCUUCAAUACAACUAGAAGCUAGAUUUUCACUGUUUUGUAGACUAGGCAAUGAUGGUAUAAUCCUAAACUUUGAUAACCACAAGUCUCUAUCCUAAUAUUAAAAUAAAAUUUGGUUGAUCCCCAGCCUGAUGAAGAUGGUCCAGUGAGAUACUUCAGGGCUCUAUCCCCCUGCAGAAGCUUUGAACAAACAGCAACAACUAGCAGAACAUCUUUCUCAGAAGACCAGAAGACAGUUAAAAGACUGCAAUAAUGGGCGGUGGGUGAAUGGAGAUGGAUAAAUUAAAACUUUGGGAUUGCAGUCUGGAUGAAUAGCAUAGUAAAAAAGGAAGUGGCUUGUUUUAUUUUUAACUCUUCCAUGCAGGAGAACGAGAAACUGUAUGCUCCUGGCAUUCAAGGGAACCUCUAUCAUAACACUACAUGGAUUUAAGCUUAAGGAUCAGAUGCCUCAGAGUCUAAAUUCCAGUGAUAAUACAUCAAAAUAUCAAAACGCCCAGAACUCAACAAAAGAUUACAAAAUACACAAAGAAAGAAGAAGAGAUGCCCAGGUA